rnacentral:RNase_P_RNA from 1 species
GAGUUGGUUGGGCAACCGCCGCUGUUUUUUCUUGAUAUUUCCCUAGGUGAUAUCAGGUUAUCAGGGGAGGAAAGUCCGGGCUCCAUAGGGCAGAGUGCCAGGUAACACCUGGGAGGCGCGAGUCUACGGAAAGUGCAGCAGAAAAUAUACCGCCGAUGGUCAAUAAUUUUGAUACAGGUAAGGGUGAAAUGGUGCGGUAAGAGCGCACCGCGCAACUGGCAACAGCUUGUGGCAUUGUAAACCCCGCUCGGAGCAAGACCAAAUAGGAAUCCUUUGGCGCGGCCCGCGUCGGAUUCGGGUAGGUUGCUUGAGGCCCGUGGUGACACGUGCCCUAGAGGAAUGGUUGCUCAAGACAGAACCCGGCUUAUAGACUGACUCUA